AGAUUGCAGGCCCAACCAUACGGAUCCCAUGAACCUGCACAGCUGCCCAGAGCAAAGACAGUGACUUGUACCUGCCAGAUCUGAGGUGCUCAGUUCUCAUCACUUUAUGCUCACCAUUUGGAGUGCUUUAUACCAACACACUAGAAUGUAGCUGCUGCGGAAGUAGUGGACUCAGACAUCGUCCUUGUCUCAGGUGGAGUUCACGGCCUGCAUCUGCAGCAAGUUUGCAUGCUUUUUCCUCUGGAACCUCCAGGCUUCAUCAGGCCAUGAUGAGUCAGAUGCAUUUAGACGUGAUCCGGUGUGUUGGCAUGCAGAAAGUGGGUGAUUGGGCCGACAGACGUAUCCGUUGAAGCAGUACUAAGGAGCUUCUAUGCUACAAACACAGGACUUCUGAUAAAAUUCUGAUGUAAUUUUCAUAAAGAAAUAAAGUAUGUGACACAUUUAUGGUUUACAUGCUGCAUUAUUGAGUACAUUCUUUACCUGAUCAGAGAGAACUCACAUUUUGUCUUGGCAUUGAUGAGAAGCGAAUCUUUCACCUAUAACUUUACAUGUUUGGGGAUUGGAAAACUAUCUAAAAGCUAGUUUCUGGUCAUUCACUUCUUUCUCUCUUUUUCCUGCUCUGCUACCCACAUACUUCUGGUCCUAGGCCUUCAAAAACAUGUUCAUGUCAUGGUACCACCUCUGGAUCUGUCAGUAGUUGGUAGGAGGACUUCUGGGAGCCAUCGUACGGAUUGCAAUAACUUAACCGUACACAGAAAUCAUGACAAAUCCGAAAACUGUGCUCCAGUAAAUCUAAACUAAAUGUGUCUCCAAAUAAUUUCCCCUUGGCUGGAUCUCAAAAAUAUCUUUGGCUACUCUCUUGUCAUCCAAAAUCAGAGGAUAGAAAUGGAGUAGAAGGAGACAGAUUUCUUAACAAAAUUCAGCUAAAAUAUUUAAUUUUACAAGAUUUUGCAAAACCACAUAACCUUCAGGGUCAUGGAAGGGGCGGAUAAAAGUGAGGUAUGCUGAAGUUUCAAUAGUUUUACAGCAGACCUGACUCUAGGCAGUGCUAAAAUUUUAAAGAUGUAGAUUUUGCAUCUGGAGUUGAAAUCCUUGACUCUCCCUUGUUGGAUAAAAGUGUAAAAGCAGACGAAUGACUGAG
rnacentral:lncRNA from 1 species